GUAGGUGGCAAGCGUUGUCCGGAAUUAUUGGGCGUAAAGCGCGCGCAGGCGGUUCUUUAAGUCUGAUGUGAAAGCCCACGGCUCAACCGUGGAGGGUCAUUGGAAACUGGAGAACUUGAGUACAGAAGAGGAAAGCGGAAUUCCACGUGUAGCGGUGAAAUGCGUAGAGAUGUGGAGGAACACCAGUGGCGAAGGCGGCUUUCUGGUCUGUAACUGACGCUGAGGCGCGAAAGCGUGGGGAGCAAACAGGGAUUAGAUACCCUGGUAGUCCACGCCGUAAACGAUGUGUGCUAAGUGUUAGGGGGUUUCCGCCCCCUUAGUGCUGCAGCUAACGCAUUAAGCACUCCGCCUGGGGAGUACGGCCGCAAGGCUG
rnacentral:rRNA from 1 species